rnacentral:rRNA from 1 species
CACCGCGGUGAAACGUAAGUGGCCCAAAUUGAUAACUACGGCGUAAAGGGUGGUUAAAGAUUUAUUAGGCUAGAACCAAACUUCUUCUCUUUCACUGUAGCAAGUGAGGCUAUGAAGAGGCACUAAAACGAAAGCAGUUCUAGACAUUUGAAGCCACGUAAACUAGGAGA